AGAACACAUUCCUUUGUGGGGUUUCGUAGCUCUUCCUCAAUACAUGCAGACCUAUUGAGUGAAAGAUUCAUGAUGUUCGUUUGCAAGAAAUUCAUUGUACGCAUGUACUUUAUGCGCUGUCUGUAGGAUUCCUGAAGUUUCUGGGACAAGAUCCUUCAACCUAUUUGUUUGGUUCAUGAUCAGAAAGAGUAUGCUAUUAAUGCUUUUACUUGUGGCAACAUAUUCACUUGGCAUAGAUUUGAAGCCCUUUCUUCCUUGGACCGUGAAUUUAAAGCUGGGGACAUAAAUAGCAUGAGAUUGGGUGGUUCUAAUGUAAAUUCAUAACUGAUUUCUAAAUGUUGGCUAAUGGAUAAUUAUUAUUAUUUCUAAUGUCUAAUGUUUGUGACACAUGAUAAUCAUUCAAACUAUAAAGCAAUUAGGUUAUCAGAUUAGUA